ACGAAGGGGGCUAGCGUUGUUCGGAAUUACUGGGCGUAAAGGGCGCGUAGGCGGCCUUGUUAGUCGAGUGUGAAAGCCCUGGGCUUAACCCGGGAAGCGCGCUUGAUACUGCAGGGCUUGAGUGUGGAAGAGGUGAGUGGAAUUCCGAGUGUAGAGGUGAAAUUCGUAGAUAUUCGGAGGAACACCAGUGGCGAAGGCGGCUCACUGGUCCAUUACUGACGCUGAGGUACGAAAGCGUGGGGAGCAAACAGGA
rnacentral:rRNA from 1 species